GACGAACGCUGGCGGCGUGCCUAAUACAUGCAAGUAGAACGCUGAAGGAGGAGCUUGCUUCUCCGGAUGAGUUGCGAACGGGUGAGUAACGCGUAGGUAACCUGCCUGGUAGCGGGGGAUAACUAUUGGAAACGAUAGCUAAUACCGCAUAAGGGUAGAUGUCGCAUGACAUUUGCUUAAAAGGUGCAACUGCACCACUACCAGAUGGACCUGCGUUGUAUUAGCUAGUUGGUGAGGUAACGGCUCACCAAGGCAACGAUACAUAGCCGACCUGAGAGGGUGAUCGGCCACACUGGGACUGAGACACGGCCCAGACUCCUACGGGAGGCAGCAGUAGGGAAUCUUCGGCAAUGGACGGAAGUCUGACCGAGCAACGCCGCGUGAGUGAAGAAGGUUUUCGGAUCGUAAAGCUCUGUUGUAAGAGAAGAACGGGUGUGAGAGUGGAAAGUUCACACUGUGACGGUAUCUUACCAGAAAGGGACGGCUAACUACGU
rnacentral:rRNA from 1 species